rnacentral:misc_RNA from 1 species
GAUGAAGAACGUAGCGAAAUGCGAUAAGUAAUGUGAAUUGCAGAAUUCAGUGAAUCAUCGAAUCUUUGAACGCACAUUGCGCCCGCCAGUAUUCUGGCGGGCAUGCCUGUUCGAGCGUCAUUUCAACCAUCAAGCCCCCGGCUUGUGUUGGGGACCUGCGGCUGCCGCAGGCCCUGAAAUGCAGUGGCGGGCUCGCUGUCACUCCGAGCGUAGUAGUUACAUCUCGCUCUGGGCGUGCUGCGGGUUCCGGCCGUUAAAAGCCUUAUUUACCCAAGGUUGACCUCGGAUCAGGUAGGAAGACCCGCUGAACUUAAGCAUAUCAAUAAGCGGAGG